GCGAGUUAUUCCAUCACGAAAUUGGAGUAGUUGUAGCUGUGUGGUAUCUGCAUGGAUAGGGACAACAAGACCAUUCAGAGUUAUUCCUAAUAUUAGAUGCCGAAUCCACAGAUUGCAAGGAAUUAGGCUUUGGAAUACUCGCUGCAGUAUUCGACUGGGCUCUACACGACCAGUUAUUCGUUUAGGGUACACAAGACCAAUAACCGAUAUUGUUGAAAUAGGGAAUCAUGAAUUCCCGAUUGAGUUAUUGUUUAUGCGAAUAUGAUUUAUCAUACAGAGCAGACAUUUAUUCGAAGGAACAAUUGAUCAAAAGUUUAAAAAAAUAACCAAUGUUUCUACUGUUGGCAUGUGUUUUGUGAUACAAACAUAGUUGAAAAGGGAAUGAUGAAAGCAAAAGGAUGAGGGAAUAAGAAACACUUAUUGACUAUCUGAAUGUUAAACGAAAUGUGUUUUUAAUUUUGUAGGGCAAUAACAGUAAAAGAAGGAGAAGAGCAGCUAUUUUGUUAUAGUAUAUCUGCGGCGUUAAUUGCUCUAUUUGUCAUCCAGGG
rnacentral:lncRNA from 1 species